AGCUUGGGAGCAGAUCAUAGCAGGGCUGGUGCUACUGGAAAAUCCACUGGAGCCUCAGGAACACAAACCCAGAUCUCAGAAUGACUCGGAGUAUUUUGAUGUGUUUUCUAUCAGCCCAGCCCCAGAGGCAGGGGGUAUUUUAGGGAUGAUGUUUGGACAGAUUUAGGAUCAUUCUCGGGAUGCCAGACGUUGAUGUUCCUCAUCUACAACAAACUUCCCCGGUGCCGCUAUUUUGUUUUAAAGUCUUAGGAAAUCUGGCCUCUGUUUCCCAGCACAGGGUGCCCAAAAGAUGGGGACGGUUGGUCCUUAAGGAGAAUCUGGGUUACAGAAAAGAGAAGACGAGCGCGGCUCCGACAACGUCGCCUUCACACCAAACAACUCGGAUCCUCCGUCGCCUUGGGGUCCCUUUCCUCUCCUCUCCGCUGCAAACACCACACGGGGAUUCCGCGCCAUAGGAAAACAGAGACAGCGACCUCCAAGGCUUUGUGCUCCUGUGUAAAUGUCUCCAAAUACAGGUUUAUUUGCCAAGGAAAAGCCAAAUGGUAAGCGAUGGGCUGCAGUGUAGCCAGUAGCGGAAUGAUAGCUUCAACAGGGAUUUUUCCAGAAUUUGCACUUUAGCUUCUAUACGCAAAGGUCAGAGCAGGAAGGAAAAACCCUAUGGUGAUCCAGGACUUGUGAGGAAUCCGAAACCCUCAGCAGCACAACCCUGCUCGUACCCGUCCGUGCUACAUGGAAAGCCCAAAGUGUCUCUCCAUCUUUUUUCAUACAUUUUCCCCUGGCUACGUGUUAUCCAGAAAUGCUCUGUCUAGAAAUGCUCUUAUUGAUGAGAAUGAGGUUGGAUUCACCCCUCUCCCCCUGAGGUGGUUCCCCCACCCCACGAUCCCCAACCCCAGCUCCGUCUGCUCCUCCAGCACCAGUCCCCGAAAUACAAACUAACAGAAUAAUCCCGCUCGAGGGGAUCACUGUGGUCACCGGCUCCAAGCUUCUCUCCCAAGUGGGGCCAACUUCAAAAUUAGAUUCAAUUUCAGGAGUAAGGCAGCAAAAAAAAACCCUAUUAUAGCUGAUGGUUUGGGGAGCCACUCAGGGCCACCAGAAGAGGAAAAAACGCUGUUGUCCACCAGCUACCACUUCACAGCCUUUAAGGACCAGAUGUUGAUCCUAAUUUAGAUGAAUUUAAGAUUUUCCUAGAGGUUUCCAGACAUCAAAAGCCUGCGAGCUCCACAAAUGUUGGAGGCAGGAUGGGACACAGAAGCUGUAGGAGGAAUGGCCCACAUCAGUGAUGGCAGCACCGCCCGUAUCCCCUGACCUGCGACAACAGAAAGCUGCAGAUUGGGAAAAUGGAAAUGGGUGAUCAGAGAAAAUCACAGGAUGGUUUGUGUUGAAGGGACGUUCCCAGCUCCCCCAGUGCCCCCCCUGCCAUGAGCAGGGACAUCUUCACCAGCUCAGGGUGCUCAGAGCCCCGUCCAGCCUGGCCUGGGAUGUCUCCAGGGAUGGUUCAUCUACCACCUCUCUGGCCAACCUGGGCCAGGCUCUCACCACCCUCAGGGACAACAAUUCCUUCUUAUAUCCAGUCUAAAUCUCCGCUCUUUUAGUUUGAAACCAUCACCCCUUGUCCUGUUGGGAUUGCUGGAAUCACCUGCCUGGAACCUCCACCCUGGGGCUACAGCGGAGACUCCUCCUUUAUUUCGGAGACUCCUCCUUGACUUCGUGCCUUUAUCUCUCCUCCUCAUCUGCCCGAUCCAAGGGGGUGAACAGUGAAGCGGAUGAGCUGUCUGGUGCCGCUCGCACAGGGACGCGGAGAAAAGGGAGAAGAGGCUGCUGUGCUAUUUAAAGCCGCCUCCUCCUCAAUUCCUAGGGGUGGAAUUUUACCUCUGAUGGCUCCGUAGGAAGGAUUUAAAGACUACUUGUACAAAAAUGAUAAUUAAAACCUAAAUUAAACCUAUGCCGAGUCAAUACUUUCCAUUUCAAUUGUUCUCAAGAUCGGGAAGAACAUAUCCAAUUUGUUAUAGAGAUUUACUGCUGUUUUUCUACCAUUUUACUCAAACAAAAACUGGUUUUAAAAGUUACAAAUAUGUAGAGAGUGCCUUUGACAAUACGCUCGCAGAGCGGUUCCUCAACUCCACAGCAUCUAAAGUGACUUCAAAUUAAAAGAAUGUUGAAGUACUGUGAUUAGUUUGAUUACUAAAUCAACAACUUGCUUUAGUAAAAUCACUGGCAGCUCACAAAGUAUUAACGAGAACAAUUAACAAGUGUUGGCAGUUUUUGAGUUAUAUUUACAAACUGCGCUCAGACUGGAAUAAAUACAGUUGAAGUUCUA